AGUGAACGCUGGCGGCGUGCUUAACACAUGCAAGUCGAACGAGAACGGAAUAUAGCUUGCUAUAUUUGUCAGCUAAGUGGCGCACGGGUGAGUAAUGUAUAGAUAACCUGCCCUUAAGAAAGGAAUAACAGUUGGAAACGACUGCUAAUGCCCUAUAUGCCUUUAAUACAUAAGUAUGCAAGGGAAACGCUUUAGUGCUUAAGGAUGGGUCUGUAUGGUAUCAGCUUGUUGGUGAGGUAAUGGCUCACCAAGGAUAUGACGCCUAACUGGUUUGAGAGGAUGAUCAGGCACACUGGAACUCAGACACGGUCCAGACUCCUACGGGAGGCAGCGGUGGGGAAUAUUGCACAAUGGACGAAACUCUGAUGCAGCAACGCCGCGUGGAGGAUGACACAUUUCGGUGCGUAAACUCCUUUUAUAUAGGAAGAUAAUGACGGUACUAUAUGAAUAAGCACCGGCUAACUCCGUGCCAGCAGCCGCGGUAA
rnacentral:rRNA from 1 species